rnacentral:rRNA from 1 species
GACGAACGCUGGCGGCGUGCUUAACACAUGCAAGUCGAGCGGAAAGGCCCUGCUUUUGUGGGGUGCUCGAGUGGCGAACGGGUGAGUAACACGUGAGUAACCUGCCCUUGACUUUGGGAUAACUUCAGGAAACUGGGGCUAAUACCGGAUAGGAGCUCCUGCUGCAUGGUGGGGGUUGGAAAGUUUCGGCGGUUGGGGAUGGACUCGCGGCUUAUCAGCUUGUUGGUGGGGUAGUGGCUUACCAAGGCUUUGACAGGUAGCCGGCCUGAGAGGGUGACCGGCCACAUUGGGACUGAGAUACGGCCCAGACUCCUACGGGAGGCAGCAGUGGGGAAUAUUGCACAAUGGGCGGAAGCCUGAUGCAGCAACGCCGCGUGCGGGAUGACGGCCUUCGGGUUGUAAACCGCUUUCGCCUGUGACGAAGCGUGAGUGACGGUAAUGGGUAAAGAAGCACCGGCUAACUACGUG